CUGGCUCAGGAUGAACGCUGGCGGCGUGCUUAACACAUGCAAGUCGAACGAAGCACCUGCUUACGAUCCCUUCGGGGUGACGAGCUUGUGACUGAGUGGCGG
rnacentral:rRNA from 1 species